rnacentral:lncRNA from 1 species
GGGGGCGCUGAGGGACGUAGGAGUGUUGAGACACAGACACAGGAAGCAUCAACUCAGAGGCUUCGGCCAGGAUGUGAGCCUGACUUUCGCAGCCCCAACUGGCAGGCUGACCUCAUUUGAACUCCCUGGCGGUGGCAUCCUGGAGACACCCACAUAGCUGAGCUGGCACCGUAGGCACUCAUAAUCCAGGUUCAGUUUCUGCCAGCACUGAUUUGGUUUAUUCCACAUGGCUUGGGCCACUGCGGGACUCCGUUUGUUCCAGGGCCACCUUCCUGUCACCUUUUACUGUUUCUUGAGUCAGCAAGAAAGGCAGAUCCGACUGAAGACUCCAGCACUCUCCUCAGCUGCAGCCCCCACAAAGCUCCGUGAAGUCCUUUCCCCCACAGGACAGAUCUGAGGCACCCACCGUUAGAAGAAAAGAGUAGAGAAAUGAUAUGCAGGAAGAAGGCCCAUUCUGAUUCACCAAUCGCGUGGACGCAUUUUCCUACCAGGCUAGGAGGGAGGAAAGUGGAGCCCCACACUGACUGCUAAGCCGUUUGCUUUGGUGUCAUGAAAAAGAGUUCAGCUUCUCAAAUCAGAGAGGAAAAGGUUUUCAAGGGGUCCCCUAUUUCUAUUAUGUAAGCUUUAAAUGACAAAGUGGACCUCUGGGGCCAACAUGGGUGUGUGAUGGUGGUUUUGUGGGAUUCUCCCCAUAGCCCCAUCAGACGGCCUCACCUUAUGGGUCUCAGUGGCCCCAGGUGCAACACAGCUCCUCCAGAAAUGAUGACAGCCCUGGCGACCAAGGACUCCCUGUGCCACUGGGUUUGC